UUUUUUUAAAAAAUGAUAUUUAUUACUUUUUCAAAAUUUCCAACACAGCACUACAAACACAGAGAAAAAGAAACAACAGAAAAAACAAUACGAAUACAAUACAAAAACGCUACAUGGACUAACAAAUCAAGCAAAAACAAGCAAAAACAAUUUAAAAACACCUCAAACAUUUUCAAUAUCUUAUAUUUCAUUCACUUAUUUCCAGCGACUUCCUCACACCUCCCUUUUUGUAUUCCACUUCUAUUAUUUGUUUCAGCAAUUCCUUUCCAUCUUACUCUGUUUUCUGUUCUAUAAUUAUCUUAACACAUUCUUGCCAUACUUUUCCUUUAAUUUUCUAUUAAUCUAUUUAUACUUAAUUCCUUAUGACAUUUCUACUAAAGCCAUGUAAUUUAAUUCCAACAUUUUUCUAACAUUCCUUAAUUUUACAAUAUUUCUAUAAAUAGUCUUUAAACUUUUUCCAAUCUUCCUCCACCGACUCUUCACCCUGGUCUCGGAUCUUGCCAGUCAUUUCCGCCAAUUCCCUAUAGUCCAUCAACUUCGUCUGCCAUUGUCCAACACUUCAGUGUUUUCAAGAAGCAACCAUUCUCUCAACCAGCAAAAGGCAGAUGGUUCACAACGAAGUUUAAAGGUCUGGCAGGGCAGGUCCACCUCCUUCUUUACCAUCCAUCAAUAUCUUAAGCUUAACUUGAGGCUUCCUGCCCUGCCAAACAGCUCUAGGAGCAUCCCUCUGUCACCUCCUGAGACCCUCCAUCACAUCCAGAGCUUGCAAUGUUUGAAACAAAAGCAACAUCCCCAGCAACACAGCAGCCCCCAUCCCCACCACAACGACUCAGCCCAACAGUAACAACUUCUGAUUUGUCCAUAUUUCCAAAUCCCCCUUCUCUUCAAUCCAACAUCCUUCACAGUUGUCCUUAAGCAGAUUCACAUUUUUGGCGGUCAUACUAACCCCCAAAUACCUCUCUUUCUCAACCAAUGUUAGUCCUGUCGCCUCCUGAAACUCUGUCAGGCUUUCCUUCUCCAACUCAGACAGGGCUCUGGUCCCCAAAUUCAUCCGCUCUUCUUUAAGUUCAAUCAUAACGAAUGUCAGCUUAUGUUUAUCAAGUUGUCUUUGUAUGGAUGGGACUCUCCUCUCCAGUUGUACCACCUUAAGUUCAGCAGCAAGGGUUUUUUCCCUGACUUCAUCUGCAGUUUGCCGUAUCAGAGUAGAUUCCUGUAUCAGUUUCUGGGUGGUUUCUGAAUUGGUAUUCACCUUUUGUCCCAAAUUAUUUAAACUUUGUACAAUUAAAUCAGUCUCAAUAUUUGCAACAUCCAAUUUCACAUUCAUCGCAUCUGUUUUCUUAUGGAGUUGUUCCAGCGAAUCGUUUAUUUUCAAUAAUGCAGCCACUAAGGCCUCCUCUGUCGACAUCCCGUCUGUUUUUCCCUUCCGUUUGCCAUAACACUUAAGAGAUUCAAGGUCAAUUCCAAAGUCUCACACUUUUCUUAUCUUGCAGCUGGAAAUUCCCCUAGCCCAGCUCCUAUAAAGUAACCAAUUUCAAAAGCUUCCACUAGGGGAAAACAGGUUGUAUUUGGAUCGGUCAAUAUGUCCUCUUUUAAACACAGUUUCAAUAAUCCGAAGUUAGUUUCAAUUUUCAGUUACUUUCCUCCUUUUUUAAAAACAGCCGGAAACAGUAGAAACAAUGUAUUUCUCUUAUUUAGCUAGCUGUCAAUGAACGUUCUAAGGGCUGUCAAUGAACAUUCC